rnacentral:rRNA from 1 species
AUGCAGCAUGCCGCGUGUAUGAGAGGCCUUCGGGUUGUAAAGUACUUUCAGCGGGGAGGAAGGGAGUGAGGCUAAUAACCUUAUUCAUUGACGUUACCCGCAGAAGAAGCACCGGCUAACUCCGUGCCAGCAGCCGCGGUAAUACGGAGGGUGCAAGCGUUAAUCGGAAUUACUGGGCGUAAAGCGCACGCAGGCGGUCUGUCAAGUCGGAUGUGAAAUCCCCGGGCUCAACCCGGGAACUGCAUUCGAAACUGGCAGGCUAGAGUCUCGUAGAGGGGGGUAGAAUUCCAGGUGUAGCGGUGAAAUGCGUAGAGAUCUGGAGGAAUACCGGUGGCGAAGGCGGCCCCCUGGACGAAGACUGACGCUCAGGUGCGAAAGCGUGGGGAGCAAACA